rnacentral:rRNA from 1 species
UGGGGAAUAUUGGACAAUGGGGGGAACCCUGAUCCAGCCAUGCCGCGUGUGUGAAGAAGGCUUUAUGGUUGUAAAGCACUUUAAGCGAGGAGGAGGGUACUGGUAUUAAUACUACCAGGUACUGGACGUUACUCGCAGAAUAAGCACCGGCUAACUCUGUGCCAGCAGCCGCGGUAAUACAGAGGGUGCGAGCGUUAAUCGGAAUUACUGGGCGUAAAGCGCGCGUAGGUGGUUCGUUAAGUUGAAUGUGAAAGCCCCGGGCUCAACCUGGGAACUGCAUCCAAAACUGGCGAGCUAGAGGAGGGCAGAGGGUGGUGGAAUUUCCUGUGUAGCGGUGAAGUGCGUAGAUAUAGGAAGGAACACCAGUGGCGAAGGCGACCACCUGGGCUCAUACUGACACUGAGGUGCGAAAGCGUGGGGAGCAAACAGG